rnacentral:rRNA from 1 species
UAUGUGAUCGUCUCUCGCAUAUCAAUAAGCGGAGGAAAAGAAACUAACAAGGAUUCCCCUAGUAACGGCGAGUGAAGCGGGAAGAGCUCAAAUUUGAAAUCUUAAAGGGUUUCCCUUUACGAAUUGUAGUUUAAAGAAGUGUUUUCUGUUGAGGUUUUGGUAAAAGUUCUUUGGAAUAGGACAUCAUAGAGGGUGAGAAUCCCGUAUUUGACCUUUACUUUCAACUUUGUGAUACACUUUCAAAGAGUCGGAUUGUUUGGGAAUGCAGUCCAAAAUGGGUGGUAAAUUUCAUCUAAAGCUAAAUAUUGGCGAGAGACCGAUAGCGAACAAGUACCGUGAGGGAAAGAUGAAAAGAACUUUGAAAAGAGAGUUAAACAGUACGUGAAAUUGUCAAAAGAGAAGCGUUUGACACCAGUGUUGUUUUUCUGAAAAUCAAUUAAAGAACUGUUUAUGCUAAGCUGUUUAGACUUUAUCAGCUAACUGUUUAGUUUUGAGCUUUUCUUUAUGCACUUUUCAGUUAACAAGUCAACAUCAAUUUCUUUUGCUGUAAAAAAGCUUGAGGAAGGUGGCUUGAGAUUCGUCUUAAGUGUUUAUAGCCUCUUGCCUAUGCAGUCGGAGAGAUUGAGGUCUGCAGCGUAGAUCCUUCGGGGCUAAAUGCAUUUGUGCUAAGUUAUAGCAUUUUAUAGACAACUUGUUGACUAUGAUUUGUCUUGUAGCUUACUCGCUUAUGUUAUUUUACCUACGCUUAGGAUGUUGAGUAGCGACAUACGCAC